AAGAGAUAAAUGAACAUUGUCUAUAUGCUAUCAGAACAUUGUGCAUUUCAUGAGCACAGGGCUCUACCCACGUGUGGUGUGGCUCAAUCUCUGGUAUCGUACAAGCACCAAAGGGCUCAAAUUGACCAUAUGUAUGGUGUCGCUCAAUCUAUGCAUCAUGCCAGCACUAGAGGGCCUAGACUGACCACGUCACCAUCUGUGCUACAAGGGGUGUGUGUGCUUGGGGGUAUUUUGGGGUGGGGGGUGACUUCUCAGUGGUCUUCAGCCACUCAUUUGGCUCUUAAAAGUUUAUAAACAGUUCUCCAUCAUAUCCACUACGCCAGAACCACUAUUAGAGACGCGGAUAAAACUUCAUUAGGGACAUGGGAAAAAUGUGUCUAAAAGUUUAUGUCUGACAAAAAAAAAUCAGUGGCACGUAAAAAAGCGUCACUGAGGUU
rnacentral:lncRNA from 1 species